rnacentral:rRNA from 1 species
GUGGCGAACGGGUGAGUAACACGUGGGCAAUCUGCCCUUCACUCUGGGACAAGCCCUGGAAACGGGGUCUAAUACCGGAUAACACUCUGUCCCGCAUGGGACGGGGUUAAAAGCUCCGGCGGUGAAGGAUGAGCCCGCGGCCUAUCAGCUUGUUGGUGGGGUAAUGGCCUACCAAGGCGACGACGGGUAGCCGGCCUGAGAGGGCGACCGGCCACACUGGGACUGAGACACGGCCCAGACUCCUACGGGAGGCAGCAGUGGGGAAUAUUGCACAAUGGGCGAAAGCCUGAUGCAGCGACGCCGCGUGAGGGAUGACGGCCUUCGGGUUGUAAACCUCUUUCAGCAGGGAAGAAGCGAAAGUGACGGUACCUGCAGAAGAAGCGCCGGCUAACUACGUGCCAGCAGCCGCGGUAAUACGUAGGGCGCAAGCGUUGUCCGGAAUUAUUGGGCGUAAAGAGCUCGUAGGCGGCUUGUCACGUCGGAUGUGAAA